rnacentral:snRNA from 1 species
GGAUGUAAGGGUGAUCUGGCUGUGACAUCUGUCCAAAGUUGAUUCGGUUGAUCUGGCUGGCUAGGUGGGUGGUCCCCUUCCCCCUUCACCUCACCAGCUGCAUCCCUCCCGAAGCUGCACACUCAGUUGAAGAGGAUGACAUUUCCCAAUAGAGGAGGACAUUCUUCUGUCAAGGGUGUAUCGGUAGCUGCCCGCCCCUGCUAGAACCUCCAAACAAGCUCUCAAGGCCAGAGAGAGAAUAGCCAUGGAAAUGCUUUGUCAGUUU